CCUGCCCCUAGAGGUGUGGCAGGUGUGGCUGCUGAGUCACAUGUGCAUCAGUAGGUGCCAGAAAGGAGAGAGGCUAUGCUUAUGCUCAGUGUUCUGACCUGUGAACAUCUCAAUGAUGAGUAGUCUAACAUU